rnacentral:rRNA from 1 species
CACGCCGUAAACGAUGAGUGCUAGGUGUCGGGGGUUCACACCCUCGGUGCCGGAGUUAACGCAUUAAGCACUCCGCCUGGGGAGUACGGUCGCAAGACUGAAACUCAAAGGAAUUGACGGGGACCCGCACAAGCAGCGGAGCAUGUGGUUUAAUUCGAAGCAACGCGAAGAACCUUACCAGGACUUGACAUCCCUGUGACCGGUCCGUAAUGGGACCUUUCCCUUCGGGGACAAAGGAGACAGGUGG